UACGUAGGGCGCAAGCGUUGUCCGGAAUUAUUGGGCGUAAAGAGCUCGUAGGCGGCUUGUCACGUCGGAUGUGAAAGCCCGGGGCCUAACUCCGGGUCUGCAUUCGAUACGGGCUAGCUAGAGUGUGGUAGGGGAGAUCGGAAUUCCUGGUGUAGCGGUGAAAUGCGCAGAUAUCAGGAGGAACACCGGUGGCGAAGGCGGAUCUCUGGGCCAUUACUGACGCUGAGGAGCGAAAGCGUGGGGAGCGAACAGG
rnacentral:rRNA from 1 species